GGGUAUAUAGCUCAAAUGGCAGAGCACAUGCUUAGCAUGCACGAGGUCCUGGGUUCAAUCCCCAGUGCCUCCA
rnacentral:tRNA from 1 species